rnacentral:pre_miRNA from 1 species
UCACAUAAACUUGUAUACACAAUCAUAUACAUGUGUGUACAUGUGUGUAUAUGAUUGUGUAUACAAGUUUAUGUGAG